rnacentral:rRNA from 1 species
CUCAGGUUUAUCGUUGUUGUUUUAUGCAUAUCGUACGGAACGACAACAUUGACCCUUCGGGUGAUUUGUUGGGCGUCGAGCGGCGGACGGGUGAGUAAUGCCUGGGAAAUUGCCCUGAUGUGGGGGAUAACCAUUGGAAACGAUGGCUAAUACCGCAUAAUGUCUACGGACCAAAGAGGGGGACCUUCGGGCCUCUCGCUUCAGGAUAUGCCCAGGUGGGAUUAGCUAGUUGGUGAGGUAAUGGCUCACCAAGGCGACGAUCCCUAGCUGGUCUGAGAGGAUGAUCAGCCACACUGGAACUGAGACACGGUCCAGACUCCUACGGGAGGCAGCAGUGGGGAAUAUUGCACAAUGGGCGCAAGCCUGAUGCAGCCAUGCCGCGUGUAUGAAGAAGGCCUUCGGGUUGUAAAGUACUUUCAGUCGUGAGGAAGGCGUUGAAGUUAAUAGCUUCAUCGUUUGACGUUAGCGACAGAAGAAGCACCGGCUAACUCCGUGCCAGCAGCCGCGGUAAUACGGAGGGUGCGAGCGUUAAUCGGAAUUACUGGGCGUAAAGCGCAUGCAGGUGGUUUGUUAAGUCAGAUGUGAAAGCCCGGGGCUCAACCUCGGAACCGCAUUUGAAACUGGCAGGCUAGAGUACUGUAGAGGGGGGUAGAAUUUCAGGUGUA